GGUUUCACCAUAUUGGCCAGGAUGGUCUCGAUCUCUUGAUUUCGUGAUCUGCCCGCCUCAGCCUCCCAAAGUGCUUUUAAUAUAUCCCACUGAUUUUUUUAGUAUUUCGUUAUUUUCUGACAAGAUAAUGCUCUAGGCUUAUCUUGUAUUUUCCUUGCCCAGCCCAGGAAUCAGCAGUUUCUCCAAGGAGUUUCUUUAAUAGGUAUGUAGUAGUAGUAUAUAGUAGUUUCUUAGUUUCUUUUAGUAGGUAUGUCAUUUAGAAGCUAAAAUUGGCACUAGGUAUUCACACUGAUACUGGAUAUCAUUGCUUUGAGGCAUUUCAGCAGACAGAACUAGGAAAAUUUAUGCAAAUAAGUGUGUGUAUAUAUAUGUGGGACACAUGUAUAUAUGAAUACAUAUUUAUCAUACUUUUAAAUCAUGAGUUCAUACUGAAACUUUUAAUCCAACACCAUGGGUGCUUCUUUGCCUUCCCCCAUUCUGUAUUGUCUCUCUUACCACAGCAGUAAUAACCCUGGCUCCCAUUAUUCUCAAUAUAUUUCACUCAUUUGCUCAGUGCUACCAUAAAUACAAGUUUCAGAAUCACUACAGCUCUAUCAACAAUAAACCUUCUAAAGUUCACGACUUCUUUGUAGUUCAUUUUGUCUUUAAACUGAAGAUACAUGGUUAAGCUACCUCAAUUAGUAACUGAGUGGUUAUCAAUAUGAAUUAGUCCUUUUUGUUUGUAAACCACUUUAAAGCCUUUCCUCCUACACUGUUGACUUGAUUUUACUAAGUUAAAACAUUAAUAGUUUUACCGAACUGGAGAUUAAGUUUGAGCAGAAGUACCAACCAUGGAGUGCUGAUCCAAGAUGCCCCCCCACCUCAGGCAUCCUCUCUGGUGAAACCCCAGGGCCCUCCCACUACUGAUGGCUUUCCCUUGGCUCCAGAGAUCUGUAAGCACUGCUUGGACAGUGAAUCAUUAUUUCAAGGUCAACUUAAUGUGUGACUGUUUAUUCUCCACUUUUCCCAUUUCAAAAAUAUUUUCCCCUACCCCCCAUUCCCAGUAGCCCUUAAGAGUCAUUCUUUUUUUUUUUUUUUUUUUUUUUUUCUUAAAGCAUCUUUCCACUCUCCUUCAGUCACCAAUCCUAGUUGGGCUCUGAGGACUUUUGCAGCAGUCUCUUCACUGAUCUCUGUGGCCUCCCACUGAGCUGGAAGUCCUGUUCUCAGCUACCAUACUAACUCCAGAUCCAGAUUUUGUUGCAUUCCUCUGCUCCAGCGCCACUUCCAGAGCUCCCUGUUCUCCAGAGUCCUUAGCCCACGUAGGUGGUCCUGGACAGUCUGUCCCUCCCUUGCUUGCCUAGUGAGUUUUCUGAGCCCACAGUUCUUGUUUUCGUGAUCUCUGCUAUGGUCCAUAAAAGAGUACAUACAAGCUCUUUUUUUUCUUUUUGGAGGUAAGAGUCCAAGAAGUGUUUCACCAGGUUGUGCAGUCUGGACACCGAGAUGGUAGAGGGGCUGUAAGAUGGUAGAGGAACCAGCUCAGGAGAGCAGCUGGGCUAGCAGCUUUACGGAAGCCUUGGAUGGUGGGGAAACUCCCGUACAGAAACUCAGCUGGUCAAAGAAACUCAAAGCCACAAGACCUUGGAAGCUUUGUCAAGUGGACCAGCCUCCAUGGACCACGGAAUACCUUGAGAGUAAUGACAGUUGAGUGUUCUCUUGUGUGGGAAUGCCUUCCCCAGCUGGUGCCCUCACCUUAAAGGGAAAAAGAAAAUACACUGAAUUUUGUAAAUGGGAAAUACUUGGGUCCACUGAGCUGAUAGCUGACAAGUGUCUGUCUUUAAACUGAGAGCAGAUAAUAUGGUGAGCUGUGGUGUAGGAAGCACUGCUAGGGUCUUGCUGGUCCUGCCCCGCCUUGUGUUAAUCCAGUUCCUCCUGAGCUACACAGCUGACAAGUGGUGAAGCUGGGAUUUGAACUCAGAUGGGUUUGACCCCAGCCAAGCCUGUGUUCUGAUCAUUUCAAAGUACUACCACUCAGCUGAUGAGGAAGCCCAACUUUCUGCCUCUGGUUGCACUGAUACUUUGUCCUGGUGCUGGUGCUUAAGAUGUGGUCUGCUCAGCCAAAGAAGUCUGUGAAGGAUACUCACCCACAUGUGGAGUUGAUGAAUCAGCCCUCUUCACCUAUUCAACAGAUGUGACUGUUUUGUCUUUCUGGUUCCAAAGGAUUUCUGGAGAGCUAUGACUUUACCCUUUUAGAAGUAUUGGUCCUCAUACUCUGUGCACCUCUGAUGUCAGCAUGGGAUUUCUACAAUUCCAAGCAGGAGUUGCAGCCACUUGAUAGGCAGUGCCUCAGUCUGGGGCCUCUGUGGAAUCCAGCUGGCAUAUUCCAGCCAAUGUGGCAGCCUCAAUAGUUAGUUAAGUUUUGACCAUGUCCCUACUGUCCUGGGUGGUGAAAAUACUCCCUUUAUGUGUCCUUGGGAGCAGAAAGAUGCUCUUCAAAAAGUGGUGCCUGAUGGAGAUCUCCACAGAACAAGACACUCAGAAGGGCAGGGAUAGAAUCUUACCUGAGCUUGGUCUAGUAUGAAAAGCCUAAGGCUGGGUGCGAUGGCCCAUGCCCUGUAAUCCCAGCACUUUGGGAGGCCAAGGCAGGUGGAUUGCUUGAGCUCAGUUCAUGACCGGCCUGGGCAACAUGGUGAAAGCCUGUCUCUACUAAAAAUACAAAACUUAGCUGGGCGUGGUGGUGGGUGCCUGUAAUUCCAGCUACUUGAGAGCCUGAGGCAGGAGAAUCUCUUGAACCCCAGAGGCGGAGGUUGCUGUGAGCUGAGAUCACACCAUUGUACUCCAGCCUGGGUGACAGACCGAGACCCUGUCUUCACUUACCGCCCCCCCCCCCCCCCCGAAAAAAAAAAGGCAAGCCUGAGUGGCAUCAAACCUUUGUUUCCCAUGAAUAUACUAGUCCCUGCUUGAUGGACUGUUACCUGGGAACAGGGGCAAACAGGGAGUUACAGUCAAGCCACAAAUGGGAGAUUUGCAAGCCUGACCCAAGCCUGAAAGUGCUCAUCUAGUCUCAUACUCUUGUAACCAUCUAGAUGAGCUGUUACAGACCAUCCUUAAAUGACCUUCCUUCCUUGGCUGUCUGGAAAGCUUGCUUGCUGAUUUGUCUCCCACACCUUUGCCUUUUUUGCAUAGGCAUAUUAGGCCAUUUAAGGAACUCACCCCCUAUUGCCAGACCCAUGAAGUGUGUAGGGUAUGACUUCUUAAAGAAAGAGUGAGGAGGUCUAAUGCCAAGAGAAACUUUUUAAGACAGUCUGGCUCUGUUACCUAGAUUGGAGUGCAGUAGUGGUGCAAUCUUGGCUCACUGCAACAACCUCCACCUUGUGGGCUCAAGCCAUCCUCCUACCUUAGCCUCACGAGUAGCUGGUGUGCGCCAUCAUACGCAGCUAAUUUUUGUAUUUUUUGUAGAGGAGUUUUACCAUGCUACCCAGGCUGGUCUCGAACUCUUGAGCUCAAGUGAUCCACUCACCUUGGCCUUCCAAAGUGCUGGGAUUACAGGCGUGAGCCACCAUGCCUGGCUGAAAACUUCAUUUCUGUAGCUGCAUUGACUCUAUGUGGUCUUCAAAAGGGCACUGCCAGGGUGCAAUUAUGCAUGUAAGCCCAGAGUCUCAAGCCGUGAGGACCCAUGCUACAGGCCAGUGGAUGGGUGUUCCCUGAAUGCCUCAUGCAAAACUCAGUUUGCAAGAGACUCCCUCUUAAACCACAGAUGACUUGGCCUACACACACUCCAGAGAAAUCUAAGGAAUGAAAGAAAGUGAGCUAUUCCUAAAUUCUGCUUUCUUAAAAAAAAUUAAAAAGCCAAAACAACAAAACCACCAACUCACUAAUAAGGUUAACUUGCUGCCAUUUAACAGAUUAUCAGAAAUUGCAAACUCUCUCAAGAGCCACAGGACAGAAAAUCAUCUCUUUAAAGCCAUACCUGGUAGAAACAAUAGGAUGACUACCACAAGCCUGAUUUUGAAUAGUUUAUUAAAGGAAAGGUGAAGCAUCAGUUUCAAAUUGUACAAAAGGAAAAAAAACCUCAUAUUGCAAAUGUACAAUUUACAGAAUUACUAGCAAAACCAAUCAAGGAGACACCGAAAAUACAAAAAUUUGAUUGACUUCAAACUGAACUGGAAACCCAUUGGAGUAGAUAUUUAGCCUUUUUGUGUGGCAUGGUAGUCUACAAUUCUGUCAGCAUCUGUUUUCCAUACAAGACUGUCACGCAAAGGAUCAAUUUGUGCAUGUGCCAGGGCACCUCAUGGCUUGCUCCCUGGCCAAAACCACAGGCAGGCAGGGCUGGGGUGGACAGUCCAGUCAUUCCUGCACCUUCACUUCCAGUGAAGCCCACAAUUCUGGGAGAAAGUGAGGCCCCAGCUCCCCUAACUGGAGCCCAAGAAUUGCUGAAUUAGCAGAGAAGAUAUUUUUGGUGACCAGGUUUUUUUCAGAACUGUACAAAUGUUGAGAAAAAUGUUUUGUGUCUUUACUAAAAGGAUGAAUAAAAUCAUCCAUCAUCAUCUUGCUUUCCCGCACAAAAGAUGAUCACUGGGUGUGCAGAAUUUUAAAAAAUGUUUUUCGUAUUUGAUAAAAAGGGAAAGCCUCAUGAUUCUGUUGCAGCUACUUUAAAAACCAGCCCAGAAACAGCUGUGGAUGAAUUGGUUUGGAAAUUCUGAGGCUUACUUUAGAAAUCAGAAAGGAAGAGAGAGACUAAGUGGGGUUUUUAAAACAAUAGCAGCAAGUCAUAAAAGUCUAGGCAGAAUGUAACUCUAAACCAUUGUAGACUGUCCUGAAGAUUCAUAAUUUCUUUCCCCAAAAGAAUUAUUCUUAAUAUGCACAUUUAACACUGAAAUGUAGCUGUAAUUCAAGGUAAGCUUAGGAACUUCACCCUCUAAGCACAGACUUCUAUGCAGCACAUACUUCUAUAAUCAGUAAACUUAAUUCACAAAAUUAGCGCAUAAGGGUAUUAAGUGCAUGGGAAGUAAACACAGUUAUGUUACACUUAAAAUUACUUUUGAAUGAUUGAUAAAGGAUUUCUUCAUGAUUGAUUAUCUUAAGAAAAUGGAAGUCUGUGUAACUUGAAUUUGGCAGGGCAUGAAAUAAGUGGUAAAAACAGCAAACUGAUAACUUGAGAAUCAUUUUCGUUUUACUGAGAAUACUUUAUUUGCUGGUAGAAGUUGCUAAAAAUGCACAGAACAAAUACCAAUAGAAAAUGCACUGUAUUUGAAUCUCCCUAGUCUAUAUAAAAUGAACGGUGUACAGCAUCUGUUGGAAAAAUGGCUGCAUGGACAUUUCUUAUUUUAUGCCCACUUAUAAAUAAAAAUAAACCUUUUAUUCAAGAGUAUAUAAAAUCUGGGAAUUCAUAUCCAUAUCCACAGAGGGUGUGUGGUUUUUGGCAGAGAUGUACUAUGUCAGAAUUUCAUCUUAGCUUGUCAAUGUUCUGCUCCUUCAUUAUUUGUGUUCCACAAAGGUCAACCAAAUCCAGUGAACUCCAAAACACUCUUCGCAAUUAGGAUGAGCUGCUUACUCAUAGGUUUAAUAAAAAUGGUUAGCUUUUAAAACAUAAAAAGGCAAAAUGUUAAAACGGUUUUUAAAUUGUACAACAGGAAAAUAAAGUUAAAAAUAUGUUUUUUUUUACUCAAUGUUGAGUUUUCAUAAAACAGGUGUAUAACAGUGUUUAUCUUGACAGCUGUUUUAAAAAUUUAAAAUUUCUUCCUCCCUCCAGAAAAACACACACAUCUGUA
rnacentral:lncRNA from 1 species